rnacentral:rRNA from 2 species
UUAAGCGACUAAGCGUACACGGUGGAUGCCCUGGCAGUCAGAGGCGAUGAAGGACGUGCUAAUCUGCGAUAAGCGUCGGUAAGGUGAUAUGAACCGUUAUAACCGGCGAUUUCCGAAUGGGGAAACCCAGUGUGUUUCGACACACUAUCAUUAACUGAAUCCAUAGGUUAAUGAGGCGAACCGGGGGAACUGAAACAUCUAAGUACCCCGAGGAAAAGAAAUCAACCGAGAUUCCCCCAGUAGCGGCGAGCGAACGGGGAGCAGCCCAGAGCCUGAAUCAGUGUGUGUGUUAGUGGAAGCGUCUGGAAAGGCGCGCGAUACAGGGUGACAGCCCCGUACACAAAAAUGCACAUGCUGUGAGCUCGAUGAGUAGGGCGGGACACGUGGUAUCCUGUCUGAAUAUGGGGGGACCAUCCUCCAAGGCUAAAUACUCCUGACUGACCGAUAGUGAACCAGUACCGUGAGGGAAAGGCGAAAAGAACCCCGGCGAGGGGAGUGAAAAAGAACCUGAAACCGUGUACGUACAAGCAGUGGGAGCACAGAGCAAUCUGUGUGACUGCGUACCUUUUGUAUAAUGGGUCAGCGACUUAUAUUCUGUAGCAAGGUUAACCGAAUAGGGGAGCCGAAGGGAAACCGAGUCUUAACUGGGCGUUAAGUUGCAGGGUAUAGACCCGAAACCCGGUGAUCUAGCCAUGGGCAGGUUGAAGGUUGGGUAACACUAACUGGAGGACCGAACCGACUAAUGUUGAAAAAUUAGCGGAUGACUUGUGGCUGGGGGUGAAAGGCCAAUCAAACCGGGAGAUAGCUGGUUCUCCCCGAAAGCUAUUUAGGUAGCGCCUCGUGAAUUCAUCUCCGGGGGUAGAGCACUGUUUCGGCAAGGGGGUCAUCCCGACUUACCAACCCGAUGCAAACUGCGAAUACCGGAGAAUGUUAUCACGGGAGACACACGGCGGGUGCUAACGUCCGUCGUGAAGAGGGAAACAACCCAGACCGCCAGCUAAGGUCCCAAAGUCAUGGUUAAGUGGGAAACGAUGUGGGAAGGCCCAGACAGCCAGGAUGUUGGCUUAGAAGCAGCCAUCAUUUAAAGAAAGCGUAAUAGCUCACUGGUCGAGUCGGCCUGCGCGGAAGAUGUAACGGGGCUAAACCAUGCACCGAAGCUGCGGCAGCGACGCUUAUGCGUUGUUGGGUAGGGGAGCGUUCUGUAAGCCUGUGAAGGUGUACUGUGAGGUAUGCUGGAGGUAUCAGAAGUGCGAAUGCUGACAUAAGUAACGAUAAAGCGGGUGAAAAGCCCGCUCGCCGGAAGACCAAGGGUUCCUGUCCAACGUUAAUCGGGGCAGGGUGAGUCGACCCCUAAGGCGAGGCCGAAAGGCGUAGUCGAUGGGAAACAGGUUAAUAUUCCUGUACUUGGUGUUACUGCGAAGGGGGGACGGAGAAGGCUAUGUUGGCCGGGCGACGGUUGUCCCGGUUUAAGCGUGUAGGCUGGUUUUCCAGGCAAAUCCGGAAAAUCAAGGCUGAGGCGUGAUGACGAGGCACUACGGUGCUGAAGCAACAAAUGCCCUGCUUCCAGGAAAAGCCUCUAAGCAUCAGGUAACAUCAAAUCGUACCCCAAACCGACACAGGUGGUCAGGUAGAGAAUACCAAGGCGCUUGAGAGAACUCGGGUGAAGGAACUAGGCAAAAUGGUGCCGUAACUUCGGGAGAAGGCACGCUGAUAUGUAGGUGAAGUCCCUCGCGGAUGGAGCUGAAAUCAGUCGAAGAUACCAGCUGGCUGCAACUGUUUAUUAAAAACACAGCACUGUGCAAACACGAAAGUGGACGUAUACGGUGUGACGCCUGCCCGGUGCCGGAAGGUUAAUUGAUGGGGUUAGCGCAAGCGAAGCUCUUGAUCGAAGCCCCGGUAAACGGCGGCCGUAACUAUAACGGUCCUAAGGUAGCGAAAUUCCUUGUCGGGUAAGUUCCGACCUGCACGAAUGGCGUAAUGAUGGCCAGGCUGUCUCCACCCGAGACUCAG